GGCGUCAUAGCUCAGCUGGUAGAGCAUGCGCGUACAAAGUGUAGGCAGUGUCCAAGCGCGGGUUCGAAUCCUACCGAAGCUU
rnacentral:tRNA from 1 species